UCGCACCACUGCACUCCAGCCUGGACAACAAGAGCAAAACUCCAUCUCAAAAAAAAAGAAAAAAGUACCUGACUCCUUCUGUACGUGCUGCCUUUAAUUCUCUAUGCACACUUGAAUGUGUUUAAAAAUUUGAAAAGCACUGGUUAGGCCGGGCGCGGUGGCUCACACCUGUAAUCCCAGCACUUUGGGAGGUCGAGGCAGGUGGAUCACGAGGUCAGCAGAUCGAGACAUCCUGGCUAACACGGUGAAACCCCAUCUCUACUAAAACUACAAAAAAUUAGCUGGGUGUGGUGGCGGGUGCCUGUAGUCCCAGCUACUCGGGAGGCUAAGGCAGAAGAAUGGCAUGAACCCGGGAGUCGACAUCUCGUUACUGCACUCCAGUCUGGGUGACAGAGGGAGACUCCCAUCUCCAAAAAAAAAAAAAGAAAAGCACUGAUUUAUUCUAAUAAUAGCUUCCUUUCUAUAAUCUCUCCCUACUAUUCCAUCUGUAUCACAAUUAUGUCGUAGUGGCUGAUAUUCACUAUUUGAAAUACAGUCCCAGCACUUUGGGAGGCCGAGGUCAGGGGUUCAAGGACCAGCCUGGCCAGCAUGGUGAAACCGCGUCUCUACUAAAAAUAGACAAAUUAGCCAGGCGUGGUGGCACACGCCUGUAAUCCCACUUACUCGCGAGGCUAAGGCAGGAGAACCGCUUGAACCCAGGAGGUGGAGGUUGCAGUGAGCUGAGAUCACGCCACUGCACUCCAGCCUGGGAACACAGUGAGACUCCAUCUCAAAAAAAAACAAAAAACUACAGGAAAAGGCUCAUGAUAAUGGAACCUACAAUAAUGUGAAUUUAAAUAUAAUGCAGUUGGCAUUUGGCUCCCCAUACCCACAUUUGGUUAACUGAAGACUCACUGUAGUCAUUUCAUUAAUCUUAUAAUAUUUAUCUUACUGAAUAUUUGGACCUUACAGUAUUACUAGACUUUGUACUGGUUGGUAAAGAAUAAGUGUAAUAAGCAAUAAUAUUAGUAAUAUAAAUUUCAGUGUAUAUAGUUCAAGUUAAUUGUUAGAAUGCUUAAUGACCAUUGAUUAAUGAGAGAGAUCUGGGUAACAUCUGCCUUGUCAUACAUAUUCUUUACAAAGUAUGCUUUAGGAGAAUGACCAUUUAUUAUUGAAUUAUAUUUAUCACUGUACAUAAAGAAAGAAAUAUACACUCAGAGAUCUCAGAGUUGCUAUAAUAAGUAAUGGAAGAUAUUUGGACCUCAGUGGGUGAGGUAGUACUAACGGUAAGCUGUAAAAGUAGUUUGUAAAUCUCACCAAAACUUGUAAGUCACUUAAGAAAAACUAAAAUGAGAAUAGUUAAACAUUUGUAGACUAAGAACAUUUUCAAGAGAUUUAGUAUUUUUGUUUUAUUUUUGAGAUGGAGUCUUGCUCUGUCGCCCAGGCUGGAGUGCAGUGGUGUGAUCUCGGCUCACUGCAACCUCCACCUCCUGGGUGCAAGCUAUUCUCCUACCUCAACCUCCUGAGUAACUGGAAUUACAGGUGCUCACCGCCAUGCCCAGCUAAUUUUUUGUAUUUUUAGUAGAGACAGUUUCACCAUGUUGGCCGGGUUGGUCUUGAACUCCUGACCUCAAGUGAUCCACCCACCUCGGCCUCCCCAAGUGCUGGGAUUAAAGGCAUGAGCCACUGGGCCUGGCCAGGAGAUUUAGUUUUAAAUGAUAUUCUAACAGAUAUCAAUACUUUAUGAGAAAGAAAUGGUUUAUGUAUUAAAGCUGACAGAUUUAGUCAGUUAGCCAUACUAAGUUAAAGAAAUUGAAAAUGAAGCAGAUUAUUGAACAAAAAUUGUCAUUUGAAACAAAACAAAGUAGCAAUUUAAACAGACUAAUAAUUUUUUUUUUUUUUUUUUGAGACAGUCUCUGUCACCCAGGCUGGAGUGCAGUCGCAUGAUCUCGGCUGACUGCAACCUCCACCUCCUGGGUUCAAGCGAUUCUCAUGCCUCAGCCUCCCAAGUAGCUGGAGACUACAGGCAUGUGCCAACAUGCCCGACUAAUUUUUUUGUAUUUUUAGUAGAGACAGGAUUUCACCAUGUGGGCCAGGCUGGUCUGCAACUCCCGACCACAGGUGAUUUGCCCACCUCGGCCUCCCAAAGUGCUGGGAUUACAGGCGUGAGCCACUGUGCCCAGCCUCUUAAUAGAUUUUCUAAUAAGUUUUUAUGAAAAUGCAUUUAUGGUUUGAUAACAAAAGUGAAAGUAUAAUAAUUUUUUAAGUUUAACCCUGAAACUUAGUUAUUGUUUAUUGAACCCUGAAACUUAGUUAAGGUUUGAAAAACUCCGUGAAUUGAAAUUGAACCAGCCGGGCAUGGUGGCUCAUGCCUGUAAUCCCAGCACUUUGGGAGGCCGAGGCGGGCGGAUCUGGAGGUCAGGAGUUCGAGACCAGCCUAACCAACAUGGUGAAACCCCAUCUCUACUAAAAAUACAAAAAUUAGCCGGGCAUAGUGGUGCGUGCCUGUAGUCCCAGCUACUCAGGAGGCUGAGGCAGAAGAAUCGCGUGAACCCAGGAGGCAGAGGUGGCACUGAGCCAAGAUUGCACCACUGCACUCUAGCUGGGCAAGAGAGCAAGACUCCGUCUCAAAAAAAAAAGAGUGACUCAAAAUAAAAUGUAGCAUAUAAGCCGGGCACAGUGGCUCAUGCCUGUAAUCCCAGGACUUUGGGAGGCCGAGGCAGGUGGAUCAGUUGAGGUGGGGAGUUCAAGACCAGCCUGGCUUGCCGGGCGCGGUGGCUCACGCCUGUAAUCCCAGCACUUUGG
rnacentral:lncRNA from 10 species